rnacentral:lncRNA from 1 species
CUCACAAGACAUAUACAGACUUACUUCAACAAUUGUAAUACUUCUUUCAUUAUAAUUAUAAAAAAACACGACUAGAGAUGUAAAUAGCUCUACUUACGUGAAAGGUAGAGUAGAAAGAUAUACCUGUGCGGAAUUGCAAGGAAGAACGGUACAGAUGCUCCUCGGAUAGGCAGAUUAGGUAGAGUAGAAAGAUAUACCUGUGCGGAAUUGCAAGGAAGAACGGUACAGAUGCUCCUCGGAUAGGCAGAUUAUAGGCGAGAAGAGGGAGGGAGUCGAGAGACGGUGAGGCAGAUGAAUUUAGG